rnacentral:rRNA from 1 species
GUAAACGGCGGCCGUAACUAUAACGGUCCUAAGGUAGCGAAAUUCCUUGUCGGGUAAGUUCCGACCUGCACGAAUGGCGUAAUGAUGGCCAGGCUGUCUCCACCCGAGACUCAGUGAAAUUGAACUCGCUGUGAAGAUGCAGUGUACCCGCGGCAAGACGGAAAGACCCCGUGAACCUUUACUAUAGCUUGACACUGAACAUUGAGCCUUGAUGUGUAGGAUAGGUGGGAGGCUUUGAAGUGUGGACGCCAGUCUGCAUGGAGCCGGCCUUGAAAUACCACCCUUUAAUGUUUGAUGUUCUAACGUUGGCCCCUGAUCGGGGUUGCGGACAGUGUCUGGUGGGUAGUUUGACUGGGGCGGUCUCCUCCUAAAGAGUAACGGAGGAGCACGAAGGUUGGCUAAUCCUGGUCGGACAUCAGGAGGUUAGUGCAAUGGCAUAAGCCAGCUUGACUGCGAGCGUGACGGCGCGAGCAGGUGCGAAAGCAGGUCAUAGUGAUCCGGUGGUUCUGAAUGGAAGGGCCAUCGCUCAACGGAUAAAAGGUACUCCGGGGAUAACAGGCUGAUACCGCCCAAGAGUUCAUAUCGACGGCGGUGUUUGGCACCUCGAUGUCGGCUCAUCACAUCCUGGGGCUGAAGUAGGUCCCAAGGGUAUGGCUGUUCGCCAUUUAAAGUGGUACGCGAGCUGGGUUUAGAACGUCGUGAGACAGUUCGGUCCCUAUCUGCCGUGGGCGCUGGAGAACUGAGGGGGGCUGCUCCUAGUACGAGAGGACCGGAGUGGACGCAUCACUGGUGUUCGGGUUGUCAUGCCAAUGGCACUGCCCGGUAGCUAAAUGCGGAAGAGAUAAGUGCUGAAAGCAUCUAAGCACGAAACUUGCCCCGAGAUGAGUUCUCCCUGAGACUUAGAGUCUCCUGAAGGAACGUUGAAGACGACGACGUUGAUAGGCCGGGUGUGUAAGCGCAGCGAUGCGUUGAGCUAACCGGUACUAAUGAACCGUGAGGCUUAACCUUACAACGCCGAAG